rnacentral:siRNA from 1 species
AUCAAGCUUCGGAGGUCACCAAAC